rnacentral:rRNA from 1 species
CCUACGGGAGGCUGCAGUGAGGAAUAUUGGUCAAUGGACGAGAGUCUGAACCAGCCAAGUAGCGUGAAGGAUGACUGCCCUAUGGGUUGUAAACUUCUUUUAUAUGGGAAUAAUAUGUUCUACGUGUGGGAUUUUGUAUGUACCUUAUGAAUAAGCAUCGGCUAACUCCGUGCCAGCAGCCGCGGUAAUACGGAGGAUGCGAGCGUUAUCCGGAUUUAUUGGGUUUAAAGGGAGCGUAGAUGGUUUGUUAAGUCAGUUGUGAAAGUUUACGGCUCAACCGUGAAAUUGCAGUUGAAACUGGAAGUCUUGAGUACAGUAGAGGUAAGCGGAAUUCGUGGUGUAGCGAUGAAAUGCUUAGAUAUCACGAAGAACUCCGAUUGCGAAGGCAGCUCACUGGACUGCAACUGACACUGAGGCUCGAAGGUGUGGGUAUCAAACAGGAUUAGAUACCCCAGUAGUC